GUCUACAGCCAUGUCACCCUGAACAAGCCCGAUCUCAUCUGAUCUCGAAAGCUAAGCAGGAUUGGGCCUGGUUAGUACUUGGAUGGGAGACCACCUAGGAAGACUAGGUGCUGUAGGUG
rnacentral:rRNA from 1 species